UGACACAUUUUAUUAAACUUCACUCUUCAUUCAACGAAAUCUAUUUUUAUGUUUGUGUUCGAGUAUUACGCAUCAAGAGCUGAGUAAUUUUAUGAGCAGCUUGCAAACGUGUUAUUGUUGUUUUUGUUUUGAAAUCUAGUGACAUAAGAUAGAUAAAUUAAAGGAACUUCCUAGGAAAAAGACUGAAAGACAUUUCGACAGCUACAGUAAAUAGUUUUAAAAGUAAAAGUAUCACAUCGAUCAGUGCGUCACAAAUUUCUGGAAAAAACAGUAACAUAUUGUCGCAGCGCUAGUAACAUCCCUCUUAAACCUUCAAAAGUGUGUUGAAAGUAAACUAAAGUGAAUUUUAAGAGCGCAGAGCGGCGUUUGUCGUAGAAGCAGUUUGAUGAUAUUAGACGAGCUUGAGGAGUUCUUCGAUAUGGCUCCAACCAAGCGCGGGAGACGAGGAGUCAGUGACGCUGACGAUGAGGAUGAUGAGUAUAGACGGAAACGUGACAGAAAUAAUGAGGCAGUUAAAAAGAGCAGAGUGAAGUCCAAGCAGCAGACACAGGACACAUUCUCCCGAGUGAAGCGACUUAAGGAAGAGAACCAACAACUGGAAGACACCACCAAACGGUUGACCAAAGAACUGGAGUUACUGAAGGAACUCUUCAUUGCUACCGCAGCCAACAAAUCAGACCCCAAGUUUGAGGGCAUGGAUCUUGAGAAACUGCUUGAAGAUACUCCUGAAGUUAAGUUUUAAUCAAUGUAGUGUCUAUUGGUUUUUACUUAGGGUUUCGUACGAGUUUGUUUUAUGUUUAAUGAGAUGGAAAUGAGACCGCGUUUGGCACACAGUAUGCUUAGUAUGAGACUAUGAUGCUUUACGUUGAACGAAUGAAAGAAGUGCGUUCGGCGCUCUGAUUGGUUGGUUAACUUGGAGCUGGUCAAUCAGAGAGCCGAACGCGCUCUCUUUUCGAUUACUUUAAACGAUUUAACCCCGUACUCAGAGUUAUUUAAUGAUUACUUAACCCAGUCCUUAGUAAGUGUUUUCGAUACAAAAUCAUUACUAAGGAAUAGUUUAAGUAAUCAUUAAAUGUCUCUGAGUGCAGCAGAAAGAUCGUUUUAUUUGCCAAAACAUGUGUAGGUCAUAAUAAUACAUGCAAAAACUGAUAUUUACUAUUAAUGGUGGUUAAGUAGAAGAAACAUAAAAAUUAGUGCCGGAUUAGCCAUAUAGGAGGAGGCAACAAAUACUAUGGGCCCCGCGCCCAUGCCGGUGUCCAAAUUAUCAAAAAACCGACUUCAAAAACCAUAUACUAAAACCACGUUCACAUUUGCUACGAGCCCCGCGUCGGCUUUAUCCGGCACUGCAUAAAAUGUAGUAUUUAAUAGGUCCUUCUUAAGAUAUUUGACUUAUAACCUAUAAGUACAUUGUCCUAGGAUUAAAUCGCGAAUUUAUCUCUGUAAUAAAAGCUAGUAUUGCACGUUAUUUGAGAUCGAUCUGUGAUUUUAACUGUGAUUUAUUUAUUUAUAAGUCGAAGCAUUAUGUAUUGAUGUAGAAUAUCAUUAUUGUGUACGGUUUAUCCAUAUGAUAGCCGGACUUAUGGCAGUAUGUCUACCAUCUUCACCAUCAAGCCCUCAUUGCUGAGGAUCCUGACUCCAUAAACAAUCAACAGCACAUAUCUAUUUGUCACAGUUAGUAGCCUAGUGUAGUGCUUUACUGACUGGGAUUUCCAGCUGCAGAUAUUUGGGGCCUUAGUACGAUUAUACUUUACGUUUAACAAGAUCGAAAAGAGACAGAGCGCGUUCGGUGUUGUGAUUAGUUGGUUUAUUCGAGCCGGCCAAUCACAGUUCCGAACGCGCUCUCGUUUCGAUCUCGUUAAACGUAAACUCAUACCUACUAAGGCCCCUCAUUCACAUUUUGUCAGUCCUUAUACAUUUUGACUUGUUUUAUUGCAUUUGACUAGUGUUUCUGCAGUUUGUAUGUAGGUGGAUUAGAUCAUUUCUCUGUGCAUUUAAGUGUUUCAUUAGCCGUUGUAAACCUUCAGUAAAAUAAUAUUCUCUUUAGUCAAUAAGGUGGUUUUUUGUACAACUAUUUAUAAUGUUUGGAAGAUCUAUCAUUAAAUCUUUUAAUUAUAACUCCUAGAAGAAAGAAAGUGUUUUCAGAGCUGAAAUAAGAAGUUGAAUAUAAGAAGCCCUUUAGAAUAUAAUUCUCGAUUGAAUUCUUAUUAUUAUCUGUGAUAGUUUAGGUCAUAUGACGUAAAUAUUUUCCGCUAAGCUUCGUGUCUUUAGAAUGGGAUAGCAAUAAAGACUGUUUUGAUCCCCAUACUAUAGUAUUCGCUGUCCUUCUCGCACCUUUUCAAUAUGGCUGCGAAUCUUGGCGGGUUUUACGCACAAAUAUGUUUUCAGAACAAAAUUAUUAUGGAUGAAUUAGUAUUGUAUUAUUAUAUUGUGUUGUAAUCAAUUCAUUGUUGUAUUUUGUCUUUAGUUUUAAGGAGUUAUUGUGUAAGUAAAUUGCAUUACUUUGAGCAGUCUUUUUCAUUUAAUGUUCUACAGGAUAUUUUCUCGAAAAUGUUUGUUAAUCCAGAAAGAAGUAAAGAUAUGAGAUCUAAAAUUCAAAUUGUUAUUUAUAUUCCCUUUCAAAUUGUUAUUUAUAUUUUUAAGAAAAUUAUAUUAAACUGGUUGCUUACCUUAAGGUCAGUUCAUACAAGAGCAGAGUCAAAGCGCAUUCUUCGAAUUUCGCGUCUGCGCGUGAUUGCGCCUUUUUAAAAUCUCAGAAGUAAUGGGUGCGUUACGCUGUGAAGUUAAGGUGAAUUUGUUAUGUUCAGUUUUGGAAAGACGAUUCGAUGCGCUUGGACAUAGAAAUAUUUGUGGCAUGUCACACGAUGCUUACACCACUCUUAUUACUCUACUACUACACCUUGCCACAUUGAAUAUGGGAUAUACAUACCUUUUUCUUCUUUAUAAAUAAAGCAACAAAAAUACUCAUAACAUUUUUAUUAUGCAAAAAUAGAAUCUUACCAACUACAAUAAUUAUUACGUACAAACUGUUUGUUUCGUGGUACCCCGAACACUUUCAAGCUCGAAACGGGUCCCAAAACAAACAUCGUACUGAAAUAUUAUCCACGAAUUUUAUAAUUAGGUAUUUAUUAUGUAAGGAUUUAUUAAUUAUACUAUUAAAUAUACAUUUGAUACAAUUAUA